GACGAACGCUGGCGGCGUGCUUAACACAUGCAAGUCGAACGGAAAGGCCCUGCUUGCAGGGUACUCGAGUGGCGAACGGGUGAGUAACACGUGGGUGGUCUGCCCUGCACUUCGGGAUAAGCCUGGUCAACUGGGUCUAAUACCGGAUAGGAGCCAUUUUUAGUGGGAUGGUUGGAAAGUUUGUUCGGUGUAGGAUGAGCUCGCUGCCUAUCAGCUUGUUGGUGGGGUAAUGGCCUACCAAGGCGGCGACGGGUAGCCGGCCUGAGAGGGUGGACGGCCACAUUGGGACUGCGAUACGGCCCAGACUCCUACGGGAGGCAGCAGUGGGGAAUAUUGCACAAUGGGCGCAAGCCUGAUGCAGCGACGCCGCGUGGGGGAUGACGGCCUUCGGGUUGUAAACUCCUUUCGCUAGGGACGAAGAUUUUUGUGACGGUACCUAGAUAAGAAGCACCGGCUAACUACGU
rnacentral:rRNA from 1 species